AAGAUCUCAUGAUUGAGAUUUGUUAUUUAUUUGAUUUUGGUUUUGCCUUUUUUUUUAGGGCUUCUCGUUCUUCUCUCUCGUCAAUGUGCGAAAAUC
rnacentral:ribozyme from 13 species